GACGAACGCUGGCGGCGUGCUUAACACAUGCAAGUCGAACGGAAAGGCCCUGCUUUUGUGGGGUGCUCGAGUGGCGAACGGGUGAGUAACACGUGAGUAACCUGCCCUUGACUUUGGGAUAACUUCAGGAAACUGGGGCUAAUACCGGAUAGGAGCUCCUGCUGCAUGGUGGGGGUUGGAAAGUUUCGGCGGUUGGGGAUGGACUCGCGGCUUAUCAGCUUGUUGGUGGGGUAGUGGCUUACCCAGGCUUUGGCGGGUGGCCGGCCUGAGAGGGUGACCGGCCACAUUGGGACUGAGAUACGGCCCAGACUCCUACGGGAGGCAGCAGUGGGGAAUAUUGCACAAUGGGCGGAAGCCAUAUGCAGCAACGCCGCGUGCGGGAUGACGGCCUUCGGGUUGUAAACCGCUUUCACCUGUGACGAAGCGUGAGUGACGGUAAUGGGUAAAGAAGCACCGGCUAACUACGUG
rnacentral:rRNA from 1 species